UGACCAGAAUUCAUUCAUUCAGGACAAUGUCCAGUGCCAAAGUCAAUUUGAUGUAGAACACUGAUGACAGCUGACAUUGUUAUUUGGUUUGAUUAUGUUGUGUUGUAAGUAACCAAAAUCCAAUGUCUUCCAAAUGUCUCAUGCUAACGCCAUCUUGACAUAAAAUACCAUUAUUCUAGUCAAAACCCAACGUCUGCUAAACGUCUCUUAAAUUUGAUAAUGUCAAUUAGCCAAUGUUGGAUUUUGACAUCAACCCGAUUUGCAUUUUCAACCAAAGUUUAACAUUUUUUGCUGGGAUUGUGGGAAUUGUGACUACACAUAAAAAGAAAUCUGAAUAUUUUUGUUUGGAGAUGACAUAGUUUACACAGUUUUUCUUCCAAAAAUAGAAAUAAUCCAAAUGUCCUUCUUUAAAUGGAUGACUGCGCUGCACAUUUUGCUUCCUGUGCGCCGGAAUCAUCUUCCGGUGGUUUUACACGCACCUGCAGCGGCACCAUGAACGCACCGCCGAACCGCUAGUAGCUAGCUUAGCUAGCUGUGCACUAAAACUCAACGGCUCAGACAUCAGACGGUAACGGGAAAGAUACGAGGCGGUAACAGUUUGGCUUGGUUGUAAAAAAAAAAAAAAAAAAAAAAAAAUGGUUGAUAAAUGCACCCACCUUAAAUAUAAUGAGGAGGAGUUGGAGAUACUUGAGGAAGCUUGUAGUUAUUGUCGGGAGAGAAGACCUGAAGAAACACCUCAAGGGGCACCACACAGAAACUGAGAUUGACUGCAUUCAGCUGCUGAUUCCUCCAGCAUCUGUGCCGAUUUAUGGAUGUUGGGUACCUCAAGCUUCAGGUGAGAUACCAAGUUGCAUGUUGACAUCUCGACAAGGAGGGGACUGUUGGGUAUACACAGCCUACGAGCAAUAAAUAAACAAAGGGGGCCAGGCCUUGAAAGCCAUACACCUGUGACCAGUGGAAAAGCAGCAGGCGCAGCAGUGUUCAUUAAAGAAGCUGGUCCUGACAGUGAGGCCUUUAAGAGGCCAUCAGGAGCGACAACUCAGCAGCUACCUUGGGACUGGAGAAGGGAAGGCAUCAAGCACAUUUCCGUCUCUCGGCUUCACGAAGGCUGUCCUAACGUAUGACCAUUGUCUAGAGGUCACUGUGGAUGUCCGAGUCAUGUGGAGGCAGCUCGUCAUGCAGAGCGCUGCAUGCUUCAGGGAGUAAUCACGAGCCUCCAGCUUCCCCCAUCAACAUUCUUCGCUGCCCUGAGGCCAACAAACCAGAUUUUUCAUGUCAGCUGGCAUGCACCUUCAACUCAUAAAGGGAUGGUGCUCAGGAGCAGGUUGGCGGUUCGAUUCCCGCCUCCAUGAACCCACGGUUGCCUCAGGAAGUACAUCCGGCAUAACUUCCCCAUAUCAACUACGGAUGGCGACCCCUAUCGGGAGUAGCAGAAAAACUAAACGUAAAUAACUUCAGUGUUGGUUGUUAGCUAGCGCAGGUAGGGAGAGAAGAGGUGAGCUCUGUCAACAAACAGCAAGUGCAGUGGGAUCCAGUGGACUAUGGCUCGGAUAUUGACUACUUCACCUCCAUGAAAGAAAAGAGAAAGAGCUUCAACAUCAAACACGGUCAAGAGUUUCUAAGGAUCAUGUGUGACCAAGGAUGACAUCAUGCAGCAAUACCCUCCAGGAUGUAUCCCAGCAGAGAGGAAUGAGAGACAGUCCUGGAGGUGGCAAAGCCCAGAGGUGGAUUUCAAAUUAGAGGAGCUGAGAAUGAACAAGAGAGGUGACAGCACAGAUCCCUGAGUCAUCCCUUGGUAAGUCUAACACUGUUCCAAAGCUGAAUGAAACACCACCUCUUUGAGAGGAAGUCAUUUAUUUCAUGGUUAAUGCACCUCUUCAGCUUCUAGAGCUAUGCUCAUAAUGAAUCCGUUGCUCACUGAAUUCUGAUUUACUGCUCACAUCCUGCAUUGGUAGGUGUUGUUAAGACCGACUGCGUUAUUUUUGUUCAGCUUUGUUCUGAUUUCAGCCUUAGAGGUCAUACUCCUGAACUGCAUGAGCAAAACAACGCCAACCUGGGAUAUUCAUGCAGAUUUACAUACAUGUAUGAAAUGAGAUCCGCAAUGAAUAAGAUUAUUAUGAAAGGUACCAUGCUUUGAUCAGUAUGGCACCUGUUUGAUGUAAUUCUUGUCAUAGAUUUUUGUCACAUUUCAAUCAUGUAGCUACAGUGUUGUUAGUCUAGUUUUAGUCAACAUAA